rnacentral:rRNA from 2 species
CGGGGACCCGCACAAGCGGUGGAGCAUGUGGUUUAAUUCGAAGCAACGCGAAGAACCUUACCAAAUCUUGACAUCCUUUGACAACUCUAGAGAUAGAGCCUUCCCCUUCGGGGGACAAAGUGACAGGUGGUGCAUGGUUGUCGUCAGCUCGUGUCGUGAGAUGUUGGGUUAAGUCCCGCAACGAGCGCAACCCUUAAGCUUAGUUGCCAUCAUUAAGUUGGGCACUCUAAGUUGACUGCCGGUGACAAACCGGAGGAAGGUGGGGAUGACGUCAAAUCAUCAUGCCCCUUAUGAUUUGGGCUACACACGUGCUACAAUGGACAAUACAAAGGGCAGCGAAACCGCGAGGUCAAGCAAAUCCCAUAAAGUUGUUCUCAGUUCGGAUUGUAGUCUGCAACUCGACUACAUGAAGCUGGAAUCGCUAGUAAUCGUAGAUCAGCAUGCUACGGUGAAUACGUUCCCGGGUCUUGUACACACCGCCCGUCACACCACGAGAGUUUGUAACACCCGAAGCCGGUGGAGUAACCUUUUAGGAGCUAGCCGUCGAAGGUGGGACAAAUGAUUGGGGUGAAGUCGUAACAAGGUAGCCGUAUCGGAAGGUGCGGCUGGAUCACCUCCUUUCUAAG